rnacentral:rRNA from 1 species
UAAUACGAAGGGGGCUAGCGUUGCUCGGAAUCACUGGGCGUAAAGGGCGCGUAGGCGGCGUUUUAAGUCGGGGGUGAAAGCCUGUGGCUCAACCACAGAAUGGCCUUCGAUACUGGGACGCUUGAGUAUGGUAGAGGUUGGUGGAACUGCGAGUGUAGAGGUGAAAUUCGUAGAUAUUCGCAAGAACACCGGUGGCGAAGGCGGCCAACUGGACCAUCACUGACGCUGAGGCGCGAAAGCGUGGGGAGCAAACAGGAUUAGAUACCCCGGUAGUCCACGCCGUAAACGAUGAAUGCCAGCUGUUGGGGUGCUUGCACCGCAGUAGCGCAGCUAACGCUUUGAGCAUUCCGCCUGGGGAGUACGGUCGCAAGAUUA